rnacentral:rRNA from 1 species
GACGAACGCUGGCGGCGUGCCUAAUACAUGCAAGUAGAACGCUGAAGGAGGAGCUUGCUUCUCUGGAUGAGUUGCGAACGGGUGAGUAACGCGUAGGUAACCUGCCUGGUAGCGGGGGAUAACUAUUGGAAACGAUAGCUAAUACCGCAUAAGAGUAGAUGUUGCAUGACAUUUGCUUAAAAGGUGCAAUUGCAUCACUACCAGAUGGACCUGCGUUGUAUUAGCUAGUUGGUGAGGUAACGGCUCACCAAGGCAACGAUACAUAGCCGACCUGAGAGGGUGAUCGGCCACACUGGGACUGAGACACGGCCCAGACUCCUACGGGAGGCAGCAGUAGGGAAUCUUCGGCAAUGGACGGAAGUCUGACCGAGCAAUGCCGCGUGAGUGAAGAAGGUUUUCGGAUCGUAAAGCUCUGUUGUAAGAGAAGAACGAGUGUGAGAGUGGAAAGUUCACACUGUGACGGUAUCUUACCAGAAAGGGACGGCUAACUACGUG